CCAAGAAGUAUUGGAUGUUGCUGGUCGCCAGGAUAACGAUAAACGCCGUGCACCUAACGGCAGAGCACAAGAAACAAUUAAUGUCAAUCUGCGCCCAUAAGCAGAACUUGUGAUGAAUUGAAGUAUUAGAAGUAGGGAGCAUGUGACCAAUGAAAUUACCCAUUUAUUUAGAUUACUC
rnacentral:sRNA from 1 species